UGCGUCCGUCGGUCCUGCCUCGCGCCUCCCCUUUCGUCAGUCUGCCUCUCGCGAACAGCAGCCAUACGACUGUAUGUUUCGUCGGUGCGAGCGGUAGUCCGCAAACAACGCGAUCCACCCGUCGGCGGCCCCCCUCCCCUAAGCCCAUCGCCAGUCUGCCGAGAGCGAUCGGCAUCCAUCCGAUCGACGGGUUCGUCGAUUCAGCGGUUGUUCGCAACACUCGCGAAUUCCCAGUCGUCCCGCAACGCCGCUGCCCUCGCAAUCCCCAACCAUCCCACGGCGCCUUCCCACUGCGCCGCCGCCGUAGCGCCGCCCCAGUACUCCGCGCCGUCCAGCCGUCCCCGCCCCAUCACGCCACCAUCCCACCGUCCCGCCGCCGCGAGGUUCCCCAUUUGCCUCCGCAAGGGGUCCCGGCGGAUCCUCAAUGGCGAUUGGCGACAACGUCGAGCAAGAGGACGGGCACACCUCCAACCUAAGGAAGGAGCCCCUGCAGCCGUCUAACAGCGCCAACGAUGUCCACCCGUCCGCCGCCGCCGCGAGGGGGUCUCCGUCCGCCCGCGCGAGGAAGCAGGUCCCCAGCGGUGGCCGCGGCUUGUAGUCUUGUAGAGGACGGGCACACCUCUAUCUCGAGCAAGGAGGCCCUGCCGCCAUCCACCUACACCAAAGGUCGCCGCGUUUCAAGCCGAGUUUUGCAGGCUGUUUGUCUCGCCAUCCCCUGCCAUCCUGAUCACCCGCCGUUGCCAUCUCACCGGUUUCUAAAGGCUGUUUGUCUCGGAUCAAGAACAUGCAGCCUGCUGGCAGGAAGCGAUUUAGGGCACCUCUAGGCGAUGUUUCAAACAGCAAUGCCUUAGACUCUCAAAAUGUAGGCUCUAUAGAAUUGAAAAUGCAGAGGGAGAAAAUUCGGAACGCCUCCAUGACUAACGACCAGAGAAAUGAAUGGAACGAGAAAAGGCGUGAGGCUUAGAAGAGGAAGAAAGCGGACACAUCCAACAAAUAAAACACGACAUGUGGAUAUGUUUUAUGCACACUUCACUGGAUUUACCAUCUUUUUAUAAAUAUCACUUAUUGUUCCUUCAUGUUCAUUGCGCCGGCAGGAGCUGUAGUUGAGCAUCCUCUGUCAGACGACGUGUGUAUCAAUGUGGCAUGCAUGGAGCAAACUCAAAUUACCACCAGCUCUGUCCAGACGAGCUUUGCAUCAGGUACCGAGCAUUUGGAGCUAUGAGAUAACUUUGUAAUUUAAGCACACUUUUCAAUCCAACCUAUAAACCGCAGUAGUGGACUGCAUGUUUGUGAAUGGUAAUUGCCUCAUCGGUGCAUGAUUAAUAUUACCAUGUUUCAUAUCCAAUGUCAUUUGAAAACAUUGUGGUUGUGAAUUGUUGGGGGCCUGGUGUGAUUAUAUAUCUAAUAUGUUUCACCAGAGUAGUUACCUUUGAUUGCUGAGGUAUUGAGCUCUCGGAGCUAGCAGUUGGAGGCCGCUCAAAUUUUGUUGCUAGGCGAGAAGGAAUCUGGCCAGUUGUAUCGCUGUCAAGGAUUCUAUCAUCUUCUUCAGCCUCAUAGUCAGCAACAACAUGGUAAGGCAAUAACCUAAUUUCACAGGAUAAGAAUAGAUUAUAUGUGUAAGAUAACACAUUGACAUUAUUAAUGCAGAAAGAGAUGCUAUAAUUUAGAAAGGCUACAGAUAUUAACAAUACACCUCAAUCUAAUCAGUUCCAACUGAAUACAUUUAUGUAACUAGGCGGAAUUAUCUGUAUUUACCCUUCAACAUAGAAUGAUUUAUGAGGUGAGCGGGGCACACCUUAUUUUAUAAGGAUUCCACUACAGAACUUUAGCAGUAAUUAAAUGAUAAUGCAUUAAGUCUAGAAAGUGAUCAGUACUUUUUCAUGAUUGCUAAGUAUUUCAGGAGAUGCCCUUUUGAUCUAUGCAUAUUUGCAUAAAUAUCUAAUCUUCUGGUACAUUGAAAAUGAUUGCAUUUGUAAUUUCCAAUACAGUGUUUGAAAUUGCAUGGCACUGAAACUGACAAUGCAGUCAUGUGGAAGAUAUGAUACAAGAGCCUCUAAACAGGAUUAAUGCAUAGGAUGCCAGAUCAUUUUUCUCAACAAUGUUAUUACUACACUUCAUACACUCCCACAAUUGAAUACGUUAUACAGUUACCUAUAUGUUGUAAUAAUCAAAGCUCAACAGAUUGUGCAUUUCCAUCGAAUAAUAGUAGUUCUCAGAUAUUAAAAUCGUAGCAGAGCAUUGAGUUCAAGAAAAA